rnacentral:lncRNA from 1 species
GCAAGGCAGUAAGGCAAAAGACCAGCUAUACAACAGAGAGAAGGGAAAGUAAAUACACAGAUCAUCUUGCUUAGAAGUUUUUCUGUACAAAGGAUUAAAAUUUGAAGAUGUGCAAAGACCAGGGGUCUGACUAACAACUGCCUUGAUUCCUUGUUAUUCUAUGACUAGAUUGACUGAAAAAUUGGUCACAGGGCUGGCCCAUAGUGCUGACUAAUGAAAAGCAAUGUAGUGUGGAGAAAACCCAUCAUUUGUGCAGCUCUACUUCAGAGAUACAGUCAGGGCUGUGGAAGCAUCACUCAGAUGCAGACCUGUGGUACCAUCUCUCAGUGCACUUAAAAGUUGCUGGCAUUUGCUUUCUGAUGACCCACUGUGGACCCACAACUUAUUUGAAGCCUCCAGGUAUCAGUGUUUUUAAAUAUUCUGUAAUUACAGCAAGAUUGAUAUUUUACCUUUUCUUUGUUUCUUCCUGUGAAAUAUCUAUAAUGCAGUUUCAGCUUUUUUUAAAGGUGUAGUCUACAAUGAAAUACUUUGCUGCUGUGAACAUCCUGUAAAAGAGACUAUGGGUAUAACAAAUACUCAUGUGCAACUCGCUGGGCUGUUGCAGAGUCUAUUUUAGGCCCAAUCACCUUCCAGGAUGUGACUGAACCCU